CAACUUGAGAGUUUGAUCCUGGCUCAGAACGAACGCUGGCGGCAGGCUUAACACAUGCAAGUCGAACGCCCCGCAAGGGGAGUGGCAGACGGGUGAGUAACGCGUGGGAACAUACCCUUUYCUGCGGAAUAGCUCCGGGAAACUGGAAUUAAUACCGCAUACGCCCUACGGGGGAAAGAUUUAUCGGGGAAGGAUUGGCCCGCGUUGGAUUAGCUAGUUGGUGGGGUAAAGGCCUACCAAGGCGACGAUCCA
rnacentral:rRNA from 1 species